rnacentral:rRNA from 1 species
UACGUAGGGGGCUAGCGUUAUCCGGAAUUACUGGGCGUAAAGGGUGCGUAGGUGGUUUUUCAAGUCAGGAGUGAAAGGCUACGGCUCAACCGUAGUAAGCUCUUGAAACUGUAAAACUUGAGUGCAGGAGAGGAGAGUGGAAUUCCUAGUGUAGCGGUGAAAUGCGUAGAUAUUAGGAGGAACACCGGUGGCGAAAGCGGCGCGCUGGAUCCCUUCUGACGCUGAGGCACGAAAGCCAGGGGAGCAAACGGG